UGGGGAAUUUUGCACAAUGGGGGAAACCCUGAUGCAGCGACGCCGCGUGAUUUAGAAGGCCUUCGGGUUGUAAAAAUCUUUUGUAUGGGAAGAAAAUGACAGUACCAUACGAAUAAGGACCGGCUAAUUACGUGCCAGCAGCCGCGGUAAUACGUAAGGUCCGAGCGUUGUCCGGAAUCAUUGGGCGUAAAGGGUACGUAGGCGGAUAAGCAAGUUAGAAGUGAAAUCCUAUAGCUCAACUAUAGUAAGCUUUUAAAACUGCUCAUCUUGAGGUAUGGAAGGGAAAGUGGAAUUCCUAGUGUAGCGGUGAAAUGCGCAGAUAUUAGGAGGAAUACCGGUGGCGAAGGCGGGUCUCUGGGCCGUUACUGACGCUGAGGAGCGAAAGCGUGGGGAGCGAACAGG
rnacentral:rRNA from 1 species